UACGGGAGGCAGCAGUGGGGAAUAUUGCACAAUGGGCGCAAGCCUGAUGCAGCCAUGCCGCGUGUAUGAAGAAGGCCUUCGGGUUGUAAAGUACUUUUAGUCGUGAGGAAGGUGUUAAGGUUAAUAACCUUAGCAAUUGACGUUAGCGACAGAAGAAGCACCGGCUAACUCCGUGCCAGCAGCCGCGGUAAUACGGAGGGUGCGAGCGUUAAUCGGAAUUACUGGGCGUAAAGGGCACGCAGGCGGUUAAUUAAGUUGGAUGUGAAAUCCCCGGGCUUAACCUGGGAAUGGCAUUCAAGACUGGUUAGCUAGAGUCUUGUAGAGGGGGGUAGAAUUCCAUGUGUAGCGGUGAAAUGCGUAGAGAUGUGGAGGAAUACCGGUGGCGAAGGCGGCCCCUGGGACAAAGACUGACGCUCAUGUGCGAAAGCGUGGGGAGCAAACAGGGAUUAGAUACC
rnacentral:rRNA from 1 species